rnacentral:rRNA from 1 species
GAUGAACGCUGGCGGCGUGCCUAAUACAUGCAAGUCGAGCGAACGGACGAGAAGCUUGCUUUUCUGAUGUUAGCGGCGGACGGGUGAGUAACACGUGGAUAACCUACCUAUAAGACUGGGAUAACUUCGGGAAACCGGAGCUAAUACCGGAUAAUAUUUUGAACCGCAUGGUUCAAAAGUGAAAGACGGUCUUGCUGUCACUUAUAGAUGGAUCCGCGCUGCAUUAGCUAGUUGGUAAGGUAACGGCUUACCAAGGCAACGAUGCAUAGCCGACCUGAGAGGGUGAUCGGCCACACUGGAACUGAGACACGGUCCAGACUCCUACGGGAGGCAGCAGUAGGGAAUCUUCCGCAAUGGGCGAAAGCCUGACGGAGCAACGCCGCGUGAGUGAUGAAGAUCUUCGGAUCGUAAAAAUCUGUUAUUGGGGAAGAACAUAUGUGUAAGUAACUGUGCACAUCUUGACGGUACCUGAUCAGAAAGCCACGGCUAACUACGUG